GAUGUCAACAAAUUCAUGCUAUUGGGAGAUUGGGCAGGUCGUUCAUUGCUCAGCAUCCGGUCGGUGACUGACCAGACGAUUUGCCUAUAACUGGAGGCUGCAGAAGGUGUCACCUUCAUCGGACCUGACACACAUGCUACUCAAACCAUAGGAGACAAGAUCAGGGGCAAAUUAAUCGUCAAGAUGCCAAGGCCGGCGGCGUGCCCCCGCACACAUGGACCGGUCAAGGACUGGAUAGUGAAUCAGUAGACAUGCCCUGGUUGCCUCCCAACAAUUCCCCCAGCUGUCGACUGCUGAAGACCACCUCACCAGUGCUUUGUGGCCUUUCAUGUUUCUUAAGUCCUGGGCUAUGUUAGCAUAAUGCUAAUGCGAUAUUUGUUUGGUCUUCUGAGCCACUCUGGAGGUCUUUGUAAGGUGGACGUUUGACGGGAGAGGCGUGGAUGUGUCCAGCCAGUGGAACCUGGCGUCUGCUUGAAUGCCCGUCAACAGCGACGUCUUUGUCUAAGCAUAAAUUGAAGUGGUACCUUCCGCCAAGGGUUGGUGACCACAGGGAUGAAGGGAAGAAGUCGCAGGGGCCCUGGACCACACAUCCUCCAUGCAAGUAGCCAUAGAUGCCCAUGCUGACAAAGCUGCCUCUAUUCUCUCUGUCCCACCUCUCAUCUAUUCCAAAUGUUUACAUUUCCCACGUAACAUUUGCAUGCAUUUAUCCAAAGCAACUUGCAGUGCAUUCAAGGUAUACAUUUUAGCAGUAUGUGUGUUCACUGCUUGCUACUGUAUAGUGUAGUAUAUUAGGCAGCUAACAUCUUUUGAAAUUACAAAUUACAUUUUGAUCCCAGAUUUUCAAUAACCUGAGUUAAAUUAAAUAUUUAUGCAAAGUUUUAGCGUCAUUUUUAAAUUGUCAACAAAAACUGUUGCAAAAUGGCGGCAAUAUUUUGCGACUAAAUCAUAAUUUUGUUCUCUCGCAAUAAGUAUUUUGAAAAACCAAGGCAACGGGGGUGUUUGACUUUAUAUAGCACUGCGCAGACAGACAUCCAGAUGACAUCAAAAUACAGCGACAGUAGCUGAGUUUACAUCCAAACGUGAUGCGAAUCUUUUCAAAAUUCGUAAAAAAAGAAAAACAAUGAAAUGCGAAUUAGGUGCGUUUCCGUCAAGUUGUUUUGAGCGAAUGAUGGUAACCUAGUAACCAACAGGAAACAAAACAAUGUACGCGUGGAAAAUGGAGAGAGGACUGCAUGUAGUCACGAUGGGUCAAUUUAUUAAUGUAUUUCCCGUGCAGCUUGUAAUUCCCAAAUUGAAUGCUGUGAACUAAAGAAGAAAUGCAGACUUUUUAUGAAGGCACUAGCAGCAAGGACAUUGCGAUGACGACGAGCCCCAUAUAUGGUAAAGACAACUCCAGCGUAAACAGCUAGAAGGUUAUGCUG